UUUCCGUAGGUGAACCUGCGGAAGGAUCAUUAUUGUAUAACCAAGGAGCGAGGGCUGUCGCUGACUCGAAAGGUUGUGCACUCUCUAGUGACCUCACACUUAUCCAUCUCACCCCUAUAUGAACCACAGCGUAGGUCCCCCUUUGGGUUUAUUGGAGUGGGGCUUACGUUUUCACACAAACUUUGUAUGCAGUUUAGUAUGUAUUUUUUGUUUUUGCGAUAACGCACUCAAUACAACUUUCAACAACGGAUCUCUUGGCUCUC
rnacentral:misc_RNA from 1 species